AUUGUCCAGAUAGCCAUGCAUGUCUAAGUAUAAAUGGUAUACAGUGAAACUGCGAAUGGCUCAUUAAAACAGUUAUAGUUUAUUUGGUAAUCGAAUUUACAUGGAUAACCGUGGUAAUUCCAGAGCUAAUACAUGCUGUAAAGCCCGACUUUUCGGAAGGGCCGUAUUUAUUAGAUAACAGACCAAUAUUCCUCGUGUCUAUUGUGGUGAAUCAUAGUAACUAAUCGGAUCGCAUGGGCUAGUCCCGCGACAAACCAUUCAAGUUUCUGCCCCAUCAGCUUUCGAUGGUAGUGUAUUGGACUACCAUGGCUUUUACGGGUAACGGAGGAUUAGGGUUCGAUUCCGGAGAGGGAGCCUGAGAAACGGCUACCACAUCUAAGGAAGGCAGCAGGCGCGUAAAUUACCCAAUUCUAAUUCAGAGAGGUAGUGACAAGAAAUAACGGGUCGGGGCUAUGCCCCGGGACUGCAAUGAGGUGAAUUUACACCCCUUUUCGAGUAAC
rnacentral:rRNA from 1 species